GACGGAGGGUGCAAACGUUGUUCGGAAUCACUGGGCGUAAAGGGCGCGCAGGCGGACCUGUAAGUCAGGAGUGAAAUCUCGGGGCUCAACCCCGAGCCUGCUUCUGAAACUGCAAGUCUUGAGGACUGGAGAGGAAAGUGGAAUUCCCAGUGUAGCGGUGGAAUGCGUAGAUAUUGGGAAGAACACCAGUGGCGAAGGCGACUUUCUGGACAGUUCCUGACGCUGAGGCGCGAAAGCUAGGGGAGCAAACAGG
rnacentral:misc_RNA from 1 species